rnacentral:rRNA from 1 species
AUUGAACGCUGGCGGCAGGCUUAACACAUGCAAGUCGAGCGAGUGGCGGACGGGUGCGUAAUGUCUGGGAAACUGCCUGUUGGUGGGGGAUAACUACUGGAAACGGUAGCUAAUACCGCAUACCAUCAGAUGUGCCCAGAUCUGAUUAGCUAGUGGGUGGGGUAAUGGCUCACCUGGGCGACGAUCCCUAGCUGGUCUGAGAGGAUGACCCGACACACUGGAACUGAGACACGGUCCAGACUCCUACGGGAGGAAGCAGUGGGGAAUAUUGCACAAUGGGCGCAAGCCUGAUGCAGCCAUGCCGCGUGUGUGAAGAAGGCCUUCGGGUUGUAAAGCACUUUCGGCGAGGAGGCGUUACUCGAAGAAGAAGCACCGGCUAACUCCGUGCCAGCAGCCGCGGUAAUUC